rnacentral:rRNA from 1 species
UGAGGAAUAUUGGUCAAUGGGCGAGAGCCUGAACCAGCCAAGUAGCGUGAAGGAUGACUGCCCUAUGGGUUGUAAACUUCUUUUAUAAAGGAAUAAAGUCGGGUAUGGAUACCCGUUUGCAUGUACUUUAUGAAUAAGGAUCGGCUAACUCCGUGCCAGCAGCCGCGGUAAUACGGAGGAUCCGAGCGUUAUCCGGAUUUAUUGGGUUUAAAGGGAGCGUAGAUGGAUGUUUAAGUCAGUUGUGAAAGUUUGCGGCUCAACCGUAAAAUUGCAGUUGAUACUGGAUAUCUUGAGUGCAGUUGAGGCAGGCGGAAUCCGUGGUGUAGCGGUGAAAUGCUUAGAUAUCACGAAGAACCCCGAUUGCGAAGGCAGCCUGCUAAGCUGCAACUGACAUUGAGGCUCGAAAGUGUGGGUAUCAAACAGG